CCUACGGGUGGCAGCAGUGAGGAAUAUUGGUCAAUGGGCGCGAGCCUGAACCAGCCAAGUCGCGUGAGGGAAGACGGUCCUAUGGGUUGUAAACCUCUUUUGUCGGGGAGAAAAAGGCGCCACGCGUGGCGUUCCCAGAGUACCCGAAUGAAAAGCAUCGGCUAACUCCGUUCCAGCAGCCGCGGUAAUACGGAGGAUGCGAGCGUUAUCCGGGUUUGUUGGGGUUAAGGGGUGCGCAGGCGGAAGAUAAAGUCAGCGGUAAAAUUUGGGGGCUCAACCUCGUCGAGCCGUUGAAACUGGUGUUCUUGAGUGAGCGAGAAGUAUGCGGAAUGCGUGGUGUAGCGGUGAAAUGCAUAGAUAUCACGCAGAACUCCGAUUGCGAAGGCAGCAUACCGGCGCUCAACUGACGCUGAGGCACGAAAGUGUGGGUAUCGAACAGGAUUAGAUACCCCAGUAGUC
rnacentral:rRNA from 1 species